CAUUUCUCCAUCCCAUAUUGUCUUCAAAUGAAGGUUGGUGGCUCUUCUAAAAGAAGUAAUGUACUUUGGUAUUGCACAAAUGAAAAUUCUUUACGCAGUAUCAGGUCACUGGCAGAAAUGUCAUGUCCUCUGAUUAAAGGAAAAAAAAGAAAGCUAUACAAAUUGACUCAAAGUCUUUUUUACUGUAAUAGAUUAUGAGCAAAAUUAUACACUGGGCUAUUUCAGGCUGAGCCAUUUGAGUUCCCAGUCUGAACAUUUUGGGCUAACAAGUUUUCCCAAAUUCCAUCAUCUUAGACACUGGCAAAGACUGUGAGGGAAUCUAAGUGCACAUCCACAUCUUCAGAUAGAAGCAGAUGUCUAUGAAAGGUUGAUUUGGUUUCUGGCUUGCCAGAGCACAUCAAGUUCAGUGAAACUAGAAACCCUGCAUCUACCCAUCAAAUGCAUUCCAAGUGUCCUGGCUCCCCACAUCUCCAGAUGUAAUCACUGAUUGAUAUCUAGUGUAAACCACUAAUCAGGCAACUACUAAUCAAAUGUAAUUUGGGUAACCUGCUAAUCAAGCUCUGGAUUUCUAACAAGAGUUGUGAGAGGCUACAGAGUACCCUUUGUGAGGACUGUAAAGGAGAGUGCAAAGGAGAAUUAAUGUGUGUGUAUUUGUUUUCUAUUGAUUCCUGAUAGGAUGGUUUAAGUCUAGUUUUUCCUUUCAGUUUCAAAAAGGAUGAUUUUAGUCUAAUGUUUUGAGCACUGAGUUUUACAGGCUUAUAAGAAGACUCUCCUGAUUCAAUCCAAAGAGUAUUUUCUGUAUUAUCAGUGAAGACUUUGAAUAACUUAUUUAUUUUAGACUGUUUACUCAAGUCAAAGGUGACCUCUCACAGUUUUCCAGGCAUCUUCUGGCUGACCGUGUAGCGUGGGAUGGACAGCAAAACAGUAUGUGCUUCUCCUGACUUGCAACAAGUAAAACAAAUGGAAGACUGUAGAAGAGCAAGAGAAGGAUGCAGAAAUUCUGGACAAUGCUCACAGCUGUCCUGCAGGCUUCCUGCACAGUCUGAGAGAGAAUCUGUCAAUCUUGUGGUAAGUUGCUUCACCAUUUCACAAUAAUCCUUCUUUCCUCCUAUUCUUUGUGCUGUCUAUUGAGUUUGUCAAGUCUCUGAGGCAGGAAACAUCUUUGUGAUGUGCCUUGGCUGGCAUCACAAGGCCACUGUCAGGUGAGGAACUUUUGGGGAGUGAGUGUGUUGGAACAGCUCACAGAUGUCAUAACCAGAACCAGAACCUUCGUCAGGCAGAGAAAUGAGGGCAGCCAAAGCCUGAGUGAGCAGGAAGACUAAACUCCUCGUGCUGAGAAGUGCUGCCUUAAGAAAAGAAGGGGAGAUUGUUGGGGAGCUUGCCUUGCCAAUGCUCACACUCUACCUAUUCACAAAAGAUUUUAUACCAUGCUCCAGGGCUGGCAGGCCAGGGCUUAUCUACUUAAGAACAAAUCCUGAUAGAGACUGGAUGCCACUUCUAUGUCUCAGACUGCUGUAAGCUAGUCUCCUUUGGUAGCAAUUCUCAUAGGAUCCAAAUCCAAGGUAGAGUUCUAACUGUCCUGAAAUGUAGGAUCCAUUGCAAAAUCUGCAGGCAAAGGUGCUGGCAACUUAGGAGUUGCCUCUGGGCCUGGCAUGUGCUUAAACUACUUAUGAGCUAUCUGAGCUCCUCAGCUUGAUUUCCAUCCUUGUCUGACUCAUCUUUUAUUUCAAAGAUUGUUUGCAUUUUUAUGCCUCUAAGACUAGGUCCCGUGGGAAUCCUUCCCAAACUCUCUAUGCUGACCUCCUGUACUUCCAGCACAUAACCCUCAAAAGAGGUCAUUUGAUCCUCCACCACAAAUACACAAAUCAACACCUUAUGCUUUUUUGGGACUUUUGUUGAAUUUCUCCUCCUAAAAGAUUUAUAGAAAGCUUUGCUUUUGACAGCACAGUUCAAGUCAUGGUUCAAGUCUAAUCGACUUCAGGAUCAGACAGUUUACUUUUAGGUGUCAGAGGACUAGAUGAGUCCCAUAUUGGAGGAGACUACCAAUUACAUCAAACCCAGUAUCUCUGAAGACUUCAUUUGACCAUGAAAGGUU
rnacentral:lncRNA from 1 species